GAUUUCUGGUUUGGUGCGCCUGGCCCACUGCCUUCAGGUAUGUGAGUGCCGGUGCGCGCCUGCCAUCCCUUCUAGAGAACGGCUCUGCCCUUCACUGGUGUCGGAGUCGCGAUCUAGAUCUUUUACUUUGAAAAAAUUAGAGUGUUUCAAGCAGGCUUUAUGCUAUGAAUACAUUAGCAUGGAAUAAUAAUUUAGGACUUCGGUUCUAUUUUGUUGGUUUCUAGGACUGAAGUAAUGAUUGAUAGGGAUAGUUGGGGGUGCUAGUAUUCAGCGGCCAGAGGUGAAAUUCUCGGAUUCGCUGAAGACUAACUUAUGCGAAAGCAUU
rnacentral:rRNA from 1 species